UUAUGGAUGAGCAAAGAAAGUGGUUUCUUGAGAUGGAAUCUACUCCUGGUGAAGAUGCGGUAAA
rnacentral:pre_miRNA from 1 species